rnacentral:rRNA from 1 species
UACGUAGGGUCCGAGCGUUGUCCGGAGUUACUGGGCGUAAAGCGCGCGCAGGCGGCGGUGCUGGCCCGGCGUGAAAGCCCCCGGCUCAACCGGGGAGGGUCGUCGGGGACCGCACCGCUUGAGGGCGGUAGGGGCUGGUGGAAUGCCUGGUGUAGUGGUGAAAUGCGUAGAGAUCAGGCGGAACACCCGUGGCGAAGGCGGCCAGCUGGGCCGUCCCUGACGCUGAGGCGCGAAGGUGUGGGGAGCAAACAGG